UACGGAAGGGGCAAGCGUUGUUCGGAAUCAUUGGGCGUAAAGGGCGCGUAGGUGGUUCUGUAUGUCUACUGUGAAAGCAUACAGCUCAACUGUAUUUUGUCGGUAGAAACUGCAGGACUUGAGGCUGGGAGGGGCUGGUGGAAUUCCCUGUGUAGCGGUGAAAUGCGUAGAGAUGGGGGAGAACACUCGUGGCGAAGGCGGCCAGCUAGACCAGUUCUGACACUGAGGCGCGACAGCGUGGGGAGCAAACAGG
rnacentral:rRNA from 1 species